rnacentral:rRNA from 1 species
GACAGAGGGUGCAAACGUUGCUCGGAAUUACUGGGCGUAAAGCGCGUGUAGGCUGACCACCAAGUCGGACGUGAAAGCCCUGAGCUCAACUCAGGAACUGCAUCCGAAACUGGCGGUCUGGAGUAGUGGAGAGGAAAGCAGAAUUCCUGGUGUAGAGGUGAAAUUCGUAGAUAUCAGGAGGAACACCGGUGGCGAAGGCGGCUUUCUGGACACUUACUGACGCUGAGACGCGAAAGCGUGGGGAGCAAACAGG